UUUAAAUUUAGAGUUUGAUCCUGGCUCAGGACGAACGCUGGCGGCGUGCUUAACACAUGCAAGUCGAGCGAUGAAGCUUCCUUCGGGAAGUGGAUUAGCGGCGGACGGGUGAGUAACACGUGGGUAACCUGCCUCAAAGUGGGGGAUAGCCUUCCGAAAGGAAGAUUAAUACCGCAUAAUAUGAGAGAAUCGCAUGAUUUUCUUAUCAAAGAUUUAUUGCUUUGAGAUGGACCCGCGGCGCAUUAGCUAGUUGGUAAGGUAACGGCUUACCAAGGCAACGAUGCGUAGCCGACCUGAGAGGGUGAUCGGCCACAUUGGAACUGAGACACGGUCCAGACUCCUACGGGAGGCAGCAGUGGGGAAUAUUGCGCAAUGGGGGAAACCCUGACGCAGCAACGCCGCGUGGGUGAUGAAGGUCUUCGGAUUGUAAAGCCCUGUUUUCUAGGACGAUAAUGACGGUACUAGAGGAGGAAGCCACGGCUAACUACGUGCCAGCAGCCGCGGUAAUACGUAGGUGGCGAGCGUUGUCCGGAUUUACUGGGCGUAAAGGGUGCGUAGGCGGAUGUUUAAGUGGGAUGUGAAAUCCCCGGGCUUAACCUGGGGGCUGCAUUCCAAACUGGAUAUCUAGAGUGCAGGAGAGGAAAGCGGAAUUCUAGUGUGCGGUGAAAUGCGUAGAGAUUAGGAAGAACACCAGUGGCGAAGGCGGCUUUCUGGACUGUAACUGACGCUGAGGCACGAAAGCGUGGGUAGCAAACAGGAUUAGAUACCCUGGUAGUCCACGCCGUAAACGAUGGAUACUAGGUGUAGGGGUAUCAACUCCCCCUGUGCCGCAGUUAACACAAUAAGUAUCCCGCCUGGGGAGUACGGUCGCAAGAUUAAAACUCAAAGGAAUUGACGGGGGCCCGCACAAGCAGCGGAGCAUGUGGUUUAAUUCGAAGCAACGCGAAGAACCUUACCUGGACUUGACAUCCCUUGCAUAGCCUAGAGAUAGGUGAAGCCCUUCGGGGCAAGGAGACAGGUGGUGCAUGGUUGUCGUCAGCUCGUGUCGUGAGAUGUUAGGUUAAGUCCUGCAACGAGCGCAACCCUUGUUAUUAGUUGCUACCAUUAAGUUGAGCACUCUAAUGAGACUGCCUGGGUAACCAGGAGGAAGGUGGGGAUGACGUCAAAUCAUCAUGCCCCUUAUGUCCAGGGCUACACACGUGCUACAAUGGUAGGUACAAUAAGACGCAAGACCGUGAGGUGGAGCAAAACUUAUAAAACCUAUCUCAGUUCGGAUUGUAGGCUGCAACUCGCCUACAUGAAGCUGGAGUUGCUAGUAAUCGCGAAUCAGAAUGUCGCGGUGAAUACGUUCCCGGGCCUUGUACACACCGCCCGUCACACCAUGAGAGCUGGUAACACCCGAAGUCCGUGAGGUAACCGUAAGGAACCAGCGGCCGAAGGUGGGAUUAGUGAUUGGGGUGAAGUCGUAACAAGGUAGCCGUAGGAGAACCUGCGGCUGGAUCACCUCCUUUCUA
rnacentral:rRNA from 1 species